CCCAGUUGCAUUUAAGAAAUAACACUGAUGCACAGCGAAGUUGCCCUCCAGCCUGAGAGCUUCAGCAUGAGUGCUGGCUACACACAGGAGAAUGGCAGAGCUCUCCCCACAGGGACAACACUAGGCCAGGCACCGCACAAGCCCUUGGUGCAAUUUGCUCUGCUCCUCUCCAAGUGUUAGGAACAUGAUUUUUUCAAAAAUAGAUGAUGUUGUGUGUGGAUGGCAAAAAAGACUGUCUUUGAGCUAAUGUCAAGAACAGGCAAUCAAAAGUGAGAAGCAGGGGUUGCAGCCAUACACGAGAUGCAGGAAUGUAUAACAGCAGGCCAGUGCUAACAGAUGAAAGGAAGGCUGUCAUGCACCUCUCCCACAGCCCUGCUCCACAAGGCCUGCACACAGGUAUGAACUGGUUCACAUUCUAAAUGACUAAAGGGAAAGAAAGGAACUAUAGGUUGCAUUUAAGGAGACUGUUCUGAUAGGAGGAAGAGAUAUCUUCAUCUCUUUUUAAACUGUGCCCCUGCUCUUCUCUCCCCACAUAUUUUUUUUUCUCACUCCCAUUCCUCCAUAUCUUUUUAUUCUUGCCUGUGUGUGAAAGACUUGUAUCCUGCUUGCUUUUUUGCUAUUUCACCAUUACACAGGCAGCUUUGGGGCACUCUGGCAGCU